GGGGGAGGUAGUGACGAAAAAUAACGAUACGGGACUCUCUCGAGACCCCGUAAUCGGAAUGAGCACGGCCUAAAUCCUCUAACGAGGACCCAUUGGAGGGCAAGUCUGGUGCCAGCAGCCGCGGUAAUUCCAGCUCCAAUAGCGUAUAUUAAAGUUGUUGCGGUUAAAAAGCUCGUAGUUGGAUCUCAGUUCCAGACGGGCGGUCCGCCUAACGGCGGCCACUGCCCGGCCUGAACAACCGGCCGGUUUCCCUAGAUGGCCUUCGCCGGUUGUCCUGGGUGACCGGCGCGUUUACUUUGAAAAAAUUAGAGUGCUCAAAGCAGGCAAGCGUCAGCCUGGAUAGUGGUGCAUGGAAUAAUGGAAGAGGACCUCGGUUCUAUUCUGUUGGUCUUCGGAACACGAGGUAAUGAUUAAGAGGGACACUCC
rnacentral:rRNA from 1 species